rnacentral:hammerhead_ribozyme from 1 species
AUCCAGCUGACGUGUCCCAAACAGGACGAAACGCGCAUCCUGGAU